CCAGUUUGGAGUUGCAUCUUCCGGGGGAUCAAAACUAUCGGCUUUUAUUAAUGCAUCUAAAUUGGAGAAUCACAACACACGAUGAAAAAGACCGUUUCUACACGACGAUAGCUCUGAGUCAUUAACAUCCAGGACGCUGAUUAAAAACGAUGUUUCCUGUAAAUAUCCGAAGGCUGUUGUCAGGAGUACACUGUACGUCUUGUGUUUCUCCCAAGAGAAGCAGCACAUCAUCACUGCUGACAACAGGUGGGAGGAACCUGCCGCCACACCCGCACUGUCAUCAGGAUAGAUGGAGCGCCUGGGAGAAUCACUGUGGAUCAGCUGAAUCCUGCUACUGACACUGAACAGUAGGCAAUAUGAACAACACAGAUUGUAACAAACAAAUAAAAAAACAA